rnacentral:rRNA from 1 species
UACAGAGGGUGCAAGCGUUGUUCGGAAUUACUGGGCGUAAAGCGCGUGUAGGCGGCCAUCUAAGUCGGGCGUGAAAUCCCACGGCUCAACCGUGGAAGUGCACUCGAAACUGGAUGGCUAGAGUCCUGGAGAGGAAGGUGGAAUGCUUGGUGUAGAGGUGAAAUUCGUAGAUAUCAAGCGGAACACCGGUGGCGAAGGCGGCCUUCUGGGACAGUGACGUGACGCUGAGACGCGAAAGCGUGGGGAG